AUUGAACGCUGGCGGCAGGCCUAACACAUGCAAGUCGAACGGUAACAGGAAGCAGCUUGCUGCUUCGCUGACGAGUGGCGGACGGGUGAGUAAUGUCUGGGAAACUGCCUGAUGGAGGGGGAUAACUACUGGAAACGGUAGCUAAUACCGCAUAAUGUCGCAAGACCAAAGAGGGGGACCCUCGGGCCUCUUGCCAUCGGAUGUGCACAGAUGGGAUUAGCUUGUUGGUGGGGUAACGGCUCACCAAGGCGACGAUCCCUAGCUGGUCUGAGAGGAUGACCAACCACACUGGAACUGGGACCCGGUCCAGACCCCGACGGGAGGCAGCAGUGGGGAAUAUUGCACAAUGGGCGCAAGCCUGAUGCAGCCAUGCCGCGUGUAUGAAGAAGGCCUUCGGGUUGUAAAGUACUUUCAGCGGGGAGGAAGGGAGUAAAGUUAAUACCUUUGCUCAUUGACGUUACCCGCAGAAGAAGCACCGGCUAACUCCGUGCCAGCCGCCGCAGUAA
rnacentral:rRNA from 1 species